UGCAAGUUUUUUUUUGAAAUCAUACGCAUACAAACGCAUUAUUCGUUCCUCAGAGUCAAAACAAAACACAAGUACUAAAAUGUCAUAUUAUUUCAAAUAAACACUGCACAAUGCCAAAGGUAAAUGAACACAUAAUAAAUUUUUUUUAUUUACGUCCGAUAAAAGUUAGAAAUAGUGCAAUAAUGUAAACAAAAUUUUCAUAAACUAGAGCAGCACGUGGUAAUUCUUCACUUCACUUAGUUGGGAUAUUUAAAAAUUUUCUUUAAAAUUCUUUAGUAUAAUUUGGAACUCUGAUAUAGGAGGACGUAAAGCGGAAUUUGUUGUCGUUUGUAUGGUAGCGGAAAAGUAAUGUGUUUAUAUCGGCCACAGCGAUGUAUUGGCAUAAAAAAUAACUUCAUUUUUUGGAGGAAUAUUAAAAAUAAAUUCUUAUUAUCACCUUGGCUGUGUCCUGAAGUGGUCCGUUAGCCAGAAACUUUGUUAUUAAAAAAAACAAUUCUAAAUAAAUAUAAUAAAAAAUA